CAGCAUCUCAAGUGGUCAGGAUGAUUAUUGGGCCUAAAGCAUCCGUAGCCGGCGCUGUAAGUUUUCGGUUAAAUCUGUACGCUCAACGUACAGGCUGCCGGGAAUACUGCAGCGCUAGGGAGUGGGAGAGGUAGACGGUACUCGGUAGGAAGGGGUAAAAUCCUUUGAUCUAUUGAUGACCACCUGUGGCGAAGGCGGUCUACCAGAACACGUUCGACGGUGAGGGAUGAAAGCUGGGGGAGCAAAACGGAUUAGAUACCCGUGUAGUCC
rnacentral:rRNA from 1 species